rnacentral:lncRNA from 1 species
CAACAACAACAACAAACCCAGUGUAUUCCCACCUAGUGGGAUCUGGGGGGGUAAGAUGUACGCAGUCCAUACCUCUACCUCUGAUGAAGUAGAAAGGCUGUUUCCGAUAGACUCCCGGCUCAAGGCACGAGAUACCACACAAACACAUAGUAAAGCACAGAAGCAGAUUACAUAACAUAAAUACGGCACCCAUAAGUAAUAUAAAAAA